CSGGSSGGYSKCUWAMMAUGCAGUCGAACGGGUUCUUCGGAACUAGUGGCGGACGGGUGAGUAACGCGUGAGAAUCUGCCUUCAGGAGGGGGAUAACGACUGGAAACGGUCGCUAAUACCCCAUAUGUCCUUGGAUGAAAAGAAUUUUGCCUGAAGAUGAGCUCGCGUCAGAUUAGCUAGUUGGUGAGGUAAYGGCUCACCAAGGCGACGAUCUGUAGCUGGUCUGAGAGGAUGAUCAGCCACACUGGGACUGAGACACGGCCCAGACUCCUACGGGAGGCAGCAGUGGGGAAUUUUCCGCAAUGGGCGAAAGCCUGACGGAGCAAGACCGCGUGAGGGAUGACGGCCUAAUGGUUGUAAACCUCUUUUCUCUGGGAAGAUGAUGACGGUACCAGAGGAAUCAGCCUCGGCUAACUCCGUGCCAGCAGCCGCGGUAAUACGGAGGAGGCAAGCGUUAUCCGGAAUUAUUGGGCGUAAAGCGUCCGUAGGUGGUUAGACAAGUCAGCUGUUAAAGCGUGGGGCUUAACUCCAUAAGGGCGGUUGAAACUGUUUAACUUGAGUGCGGUAGGGGUUACGGGAAUUCCCAGUGUAGCGGUGAAAUGCGUAGAUAUUGGGAAGAACACCGGUGGCGAAAGCGCGUAACUGGGCCUGCACUGACACUGAGGGACGAAAGCUAGGGGAGCGAAAGGGAUUAGAUACCCCUGUAGUCCUAGCUGUAAACGAUGGAUACUAGGCGUUGCUCGUAUAUCGACCCGAGCCGUGCCGAAARCAAAAAA
rnacentral:rRNA from 1 species